rnacentral:rRNA from 1 species
GAUGAACGCUAGCGGCAGGCUUAAUACAUGCAAGUCGAGGGGCAGCACGAAUAGCAAUAUUUGGUGGCGACCGGCGCACGGGUGCGUAACACGUAUACAACCUACCUAUAACAGGGGGAUAGCCUUUCGAAAGAGAGAUUAAUACCCCGUAAUAAAUUGAGUGGCAUCACUUGAUUUUGAAAGCUACGGCGGUUAUAGAUGGGUAUGCGUCUGAUUAGCUAGUUGGUGAGGUAACGGCUCACCAAGGCGACGAUCAGUAGGGGAUCUGAGAGGACUAACCCCCACACUGGUACUGAGACACGGACCAGACUCCUACGGGAGGCAGCAGUAAGGAAUAUUGGUCAAUGGAGGCAACUCUGAACCAGCCAUGCCGCGUGCAGGAUGACGGCCCUAUGGGUUGUAAACUGCUUUUGUACCAGAGAAAACCUACUCACGUGUGAGUAGCUGAUAGUAUGGUAAGAAUAAGCAUCGGCUAACUUCGUGCCAGCCGCCGCGGUAAAAC